rnacentral:lncRNA from 1 species
GGAGACCACAGUGCUUCUAUCAGACUUCCUAUCCUCAGACAAGCUAAUUCAUGCAAGCCAGGGUGAAGAGUUCAGACCUCUGCCCCCUACUCCACCCUAAUGACCAGUCUUGAAUCUGGAUGUCCUCAGGAAGGCCUAGCUGGAGGGACCACACACAACCUUGGUUAAGUUGGCUGCAUUCUGCUGAGGCAGGUUCAGCUCUAAGCAGCAGCUGCCAACCUUCCUCACAAUUAAGGAGUGAAGAGAGGCCUGUAAUGCACCAUAGCAUCAACUUCUAGCUCCAACUCCUUCGCCUAAAAUCUGAAAUAACCUGCGAUACUUCUAGAAGCAUUUAAAUCCUGGCAGAACUUCCAGCUGCAUCUACAUCCCAGCUGUGGUUAUUUUUGAGCCUACCUACAUGGAGAAGUGGAAGAAUCACAAGCCGGGAGCAGCCUGGAGUGCUGUAAACACAUAGGAGACUGCUCCGUGGAGAGUUGCUGAACGUGUGUCAGUGAUUAACUUCCUGUAACUCCAAGCGGACCUCACCAUGGUGUGGGAGGGGC